rnacentral:lncRNA from 1 species
AGGCAGAGCCCCCAUUAGGAAAGUCUGAGGGCUUUACCAAGGCUUCCAGGAUGCUUCUUUCACAACUCAUGUGAUGUAUUGUGGUUCUAUCUAUCUUCUUCUAAUCUCCCCCUUUGCCUCUCUCUUCCCUGUCCCCAACAUGCAAAGCUCUUAAAGACACAGACUGACUUUAUUUCAUCUUCAUUUCCACCUGUGGAGUGCCUCCUGCAGACUCCCUUCUCCACACUGAUGUGUUGAAGUGCACUGAGUUGAAAUCCGAGCAGGAAUUUGGCUGUCCCCCUCCAGCCAUGGCGGUGCACACACAUCCUCAGCAGAGAAAAGCUUAAACAUUCAGAAGCUGUGGCUGCCAGACGUAAAAGGAAAUGAGCAAAGCAGGCCAAGGCUAAAUCUCUGUGCUCGUCCAGGAUUGUCUUCCAUGGAUAAAUCAGCCGCUGUGUGACUUCCGGUGGCUGCUGUGCCGCCAUCUUGGCCCACCUGACUUCAGCACAUAAUGUG